rnacentral:tRNA from 1 species
GGGGUUGUAGUCUAACUUGGCUAGGACACCAGCCUCGGGCGCUGGUGGUCUGGGUUCAAAUCCCAGCAACCCCA